rnacentral:rRNA from 1 species
AUACGGAGGGUGCAAGCGUUACUCGGAAUCACUGGGCGUAAAGCGGGCGCAGGCGGUUUGAUAAGUUGGAUGUGAAAUCCUAUGGCUCAACCAUAGAACUGCAUCCAAAACUGUCAAACUAGAGUCUGGGAGAGGAAGAUGGAAUUAGUUGUGUAGGGGUAAAAUCCGUAGAGAUAACUAGGAAUACCAAAAGCGAAGGCGAUCUUCUGGAACAGUACUGACGCUGAGGCGCGAAAGCGUGGGGAGCAAACAGGAUUAGAAACCCCGGUAGUCC